ACCCCAGUGGCCUAAUGGCUAAGGCACUGGCCUUCUAAGCAAGCAAUUGUGGGUUCAAGUCCCACCUGGGGUG